GGACUACAGGGGUAUCUAAUCCUGUUUGCUCCCCUAGCUUUCGUUCCUCAGCGUCAGUUGCGAUCCAGCGAGCCGCCUUCGCCACGGGUGUUCCUACAGAUAUCUACGCAUUUCACCGCUACACCUGUAAUUCCACUCGCCUCUCUCGCACUCUAGCACGGCAGUUUCGGCAGCAGACUCCAAGUUAAGCCUGGAGAUUUCACUACCGACUUGCCACACCGCCUACGAACCCUUUACGCCCAGUAAUUCCGAGCAACGCUGGCCCCCUACGUAUUACCGCGGCUGCUGGCAC
rnacentral:rRNA from 1 species